rnacentral:rRNA from 1 species
AGAGUUUGAUCCUGGCUCAGGAUGAACGCUAGCGGCAGGCCUAAUACAUGCAAGCUGAACGGUAAAUAUUGUAGCAAUACGAUAUGAGAGUAGCGUAAGGGUGCGUAACACGUAUGCAAUCUGCCCUGUACAGGAGGAUAGCUCGGGGAAACCCGGAUUAAUACUCCGUAGUAUUAUUGAGAGGCAUCUUUUGAUAAUUAAAGUCGCAAGACGGUACAGGAUGAGCAUGCGCCUGAUUAGCUAGUUGGUGGUGUAACGGACCACCAAGGCGAUGAUCAGUAGGGGAACUGAGAGGUUGAUCCCCCACCUGGCACUGAGAUACGGGCCGACUCCUACGGGAGGCAGCAGUAGGGAAUAUUGGUCAUGGGUGCAGCCUGAACCAGCCUGCCGCGUCCGGAGACGG